GGCCUGGUGGUGUAAUAGUAACACGUCCUAAUAAAGUGCCCAAUAUUGAUCAUAAGAUUGGGAGGAAGCACCUCGUUCAAUUCGUGGCCAGGCCA